AGAGGCAGGCGGCGGAGACCACGCUUCCGGGACGGGUAGCGUGCAUGCGGACGUGCGUGGAGUGCGUGAUGGACGUUUAUGGGUCUGUGUGCCGGUCUGGUGUUGUGCGUGUGCGUGUGUGCGUAGUGCGUGUAUGUGGCUUGUAGUGUGCAUCGUGUACAACGGUGUGUGCAGUGAGUGCAUGUAUGUGCAUCUGUGUGCGCGUGUGUGGUGUGUGAUGGUAUGGGUGUGUGCAUGCGUAGAUGUGUAGGGAGUGCGCACACGUGUGCAUGCUCAUGUGUGUGCUAUGCGUGUGUCUGUUGAUGUGCUUGUAUAUUAAUCACUGCUGAUAAACAUGUAAUUUUGGACCAGGCGCGGUGGCUCAGGCCUGUAAUCUCAGCACUUUGGGAGGCCAAGGCAGGAGGAUCGCUUGAGUCCUGGAGUUCCAGACCAGCCUGGGUAACAUAGGGAGUCUCUGACUCUAUUUAUAAAUAAAAUAAAAUGAAAAUGAAAAUUUUUAAAGUAUAAUUUUGUACAAUCACUUUGCAAAGUAAUUUGGCAUUAUGCAGUACACUUAAAGAUAUACACAUCCUCUCUUGAGAAUAUAUUACCCUGGAGAAACAGGUCUCCCUAUGUUACUCAAGCUGGUCUCGAACUACUGGACCCAAGUGAUCCUCCCACCUCGGGAGGAUCUGGGAUUACAGGUGUGAGCUGCCACGCCUGGCCCAUCUUCGUGUUUAAUCGGGUACAAAAGACCAGUGAAAAUUAUUUAAUACAGCUCACACAAUUAUGGUAGUCAAUUGCAGACUAUAUUGGCAGGGACCAAAUCACAAAAUGGUACACUGCUACAUAUUUCCAUUAUGUAAAAUUCAAAACAGGCAAGUUCAUAACAUAUUGUUUAGAGAUGCAUACAUAAUUGUUUGAACUGACAUGAAGCAUGAGAAAAAGAUGUAUAAACUUCAUGUUAAGUGUUAGGGGAAUGGGAUGGGGGAGGAGUACAGGGUGCUUUAAAGGUAAUAAAGUUUUGUUGUUCUUGCUUUUGAGACAAGGUCUUGCUCUGUCACCCAAGCUGGAGUGCAGUCGCAUGAUCAUGGCUCACUGCAGACUCGGCCUCCCAAGCUGAAGUGAUCCUCCUGUCUCAGCCUCCUGAGUAGCUGGGACCACAGAUGUGCACCAUCGUGCCCAGCUAAUUUUCAUAUUUUUCACAGAAAUGGGGUUUCCCCCAAAUUGCUCAGGCUGGUCUCAAACUCCUGGGCUCAAGUGAUCCGCUCACUUCCACCUCCCAAAGUGCUGGGAUUACAGGCAUGAGCCACCACACCCAGCCAUCUUUAACAAAAGUUUAUCAGGUGAAGCCUGUAAUGUUCAACACAAUGGCUCAGUUCCUUCACUGAAUACCCUCUUAUUUCCAUGAUUCUUGCCCUCUUUUGUUAUCUUGCACCAUUUGAAUUAUCUUCCUUGUUGUAAUGGGUGUGACAUUAUCUGCAAGUGCAGGCAGUAUUGAAUUGUGUAUAUAAUGAUGGAACCAAACUUCCUAAUGAGAUGUCCCUUACCAGGCUAGGACUGAUAAUGUAAUUAAAGGAGCCCCACCACCAAUGGCACCAUAUAUGACUUAGUGAUUGAGACCGUAGGAGAAUGUAAAAAAGGCAACCUCAAACCUUUCAUCCUAGCUGCCUUGUAUGGGAUUUCAAAAAAAAUUUUUGUUUUUGUUUUGAGAUGGAGUCUCGCUCUGUCGCCCAGGCUGGAGUGCAGUGGCACGAUCUUGGCUCACUGCAACCUCUGCCUCCUGGGUUCAAGCGAUUCUCCUGCCUCAGCCUCCUGAGUAGCUGGGAUUACAGGCGCAUGCCACCACGCCCCGCUAAUUUUUGUAUUUUUAGUAGAGAAGGUGUUUUGCCAUGUUGGUCAGGCUGGUCACGAACUCCUGGCCUCAAGUGAUCUGCCCACCUUGGCCUCCCAAACUGUUGGGAUUACAGGUGUGAGCCCGAGUCCAGUAAAAAAAAAAAAAAAAAAAAAGAAACCUUUUUAAAUAGAGACAAGGUCUCACUGUGUUGCCCAAGCUGGUUUUGAGCUUCUGGCCUUAAGCAAUCCUCCUUACUCAGCUUCCCAAAGAGCUGGGAUUAUACGUGUGAGCUACCAUGUCCAGCUGGAUUGUAAAAUUCUUUUUUUAAAAAAAGAUUACAUGGUGCAGCCACUUUUAAACAACAAUCUGGCAAUUUCUCAAAAAGUUUAACAUAGAGUUAUCAUUUGAAGCCAGGUGUGUUGGCUCACGCCUGUAGUCCCAACAGUGGGAGGCUGAGGCAGGAGGAUCGCUUGAGCCCAGGAGUUCAAGACCAGCCUGGCCAACAUGGUAAAACCCUGUCUCUACUAAAAAAUAAAAAUAAAAAAAUUAGCUGGGCAUGGUGGUGGGCACCUGUAAUCCCAGCUACUCAGGAG
rnacentral:lncRNA from 10 species